rnacentral:lncRNA from 1 species
GUCCUUGAGGACGUGCAGGAGGAGCAGGUUGUCGCCGGCGCGGAGCAGGUUGUCCGCCGCCCACUGCAGCGCCGCGCGGCUCCCCUCCGAGAAGUCCACCGCCAGGCCCACCCACCUCCCGCCGUCCGCAGCCAUGGUCGAUCUCCUCUUCUCUCUUCUCCUCGCUCGGCUCUUGGGUGGUGGUGGAGGUGGUGGAGGUCACCGCUGUUUGGAAGGAAGGGGGGAGACGCAGGAACAAUUAAGGACGACGACGGUGGUGGUGGCCUUCUCUUGUCGGCCAGAGGAUAUUUGUUUGACGCGGUGCGGUGCGGUG